AUUGAACGCUGGCGGCAGGCCUAACACAUGCAAGUCGAACGGUAACAGGAAGAAGCUUGCUUCUUUGCUGACGAGUGGCGGACGGGUGAGUAAUGUCUGGGAAACUGCCUGAUGAAGGGGGAUAACUACUGGAAACGGUAGCUAAUACCGCAUAACGUCGCAAGACCAAAGAGGGGGACCUUCGGGCCUCUUGCCAUCGGAUGUGACCAGAUGGGAUUAGCUAGUAGGUGGGGUAACGGCUCACCUAGGCGACGAUCCCUAGCUGGUCUGAGAGGAUGACCAGCCACACUGGAACUGAGACACGGUCCAGACUCCUACGGGAGGCAGCAGUGGGGAAUAUUGCACAAUGGGCGCAAGCCUGAUGCAGCCAUGCCGCGUGUAUGAAGAAGGCCUUCGGGUUGUAAAGUACUUUCAGCGGGGAGGAAGGGAGUAAAGUUAAUACCUUUGCUCAUUGACGUUACCCGCAGAAGAAGCACCGGCUAACUCCGUG
rnacentral:rRNA from 1 species